rnacentral:misc_RNA from 1 species
UUGGCCACGUAGUUGCCAUUUGUAUGUUAGCGUUUGUUUCUUUUCUCCUUUCUGUUCUUUUUCUUAUCCCUAGACCUUUCCUUCUUUCUAUGCUUCUUAGAGUGCUUAUCUGAACUCCUCGAUUGAGCCUUCUUUGCCUUCUUCCGCCUAUCUUCAUCAAGCUCCUCCUCAGAAGAUUCAUAAGACUUUACUGAUGAGGGUUUCCCUGGACCCAGAACAACACGAUGUUCCCUCAAGUCCAGGCUGGCGGAUGGCUUUUCCUUGGAUUCUGUACAAGGCAAAAGAUAAGGACCUGUUUCAUCCAUCCUUGAACCCACUGCACCUCGACCCCGCUUGACCCUCGAAUGCAAAAAUUCCUCAACCUCAUCAUCCCUUAAACCUUCAUCUUGUUUGGAAUAGCAGUUCCCAGAUAUUCUUUUACUUGAGGAGCAUGAUGCACCAGUGUUGUCAUCAACAGUAGCAUGCCUCUUACUUGUGCUGCUGCUAUUCUCAUGUCUUGAUCUCCCUUUAAGCCUAUCAUCUAGCUCGAGCUCUUUUUGCCGUAUUCGCCACAUCUCAUUGACUUCCACAGCUCGAUUUGCUUGCUGCACUCCAAGAACAGUUGCUGUGAGGAACCGGGAAUUUGGGCGACCCCUUACUUGAGGUUUUUGAAGAUAAACAUGCACACCUUCCUUCUCAGCUUGUCGCCGCAGUUCUGCUGCUUCUUUCAGAAGAAUUGUAGCUAUUCUGUUCUCUGUCUCCAGAUCCAUCAAAGCCUGGGAUGGAGAAUGUGAAUAAGGGAGACGAGUAGUGUUUAUCUUAAGAACGAGCAAGAAGAGAGGAGAGAUCGAGAGGAUAAAGCUGAAUUAUUUAUGAGAAUAAACUCAAUCCUCAAAUUCAGUAGAAAUGCCAAAGACUUGAUUAAAGAAGACCUUCCAGUCAGCCAAUUUCUUCUUCGAUGUGAAGGUCAGGCGAGGAGGGAUUCAGAGAAUUGAUUCGAAAU